UGGGGAAUAUUGGACAAUGGGCGCAAGCCUGAUCCAGCCAUGCCGCGUGAGUGAUGAAGGCCCUAGGGUUGUAAAGCUCUUUCACCGGUGAAGAUAAUGACGGUAACCGGAGAAGAAGCCCCGGCUAACUUCGUGCCAGCAGCCGCGGUAAUACGAAGGGGGCUAGCGUUGUUCGGAAUUACUGGGCGUAAAGCGCACGUAGGCGGAUCGAUCAGUUAGGGGUGAAAUCCCGGGGCUCAACCCCGGAACUGCCUCUAAUACUGUCGAUCUGGAGUUCGAGAGAGGUGAGUGGAAUUCCGAGUGUAGAGGUGAAAUUCGUAGAUAUUCGGAGGAACACCAGUGGCGAAGGCGGCUCACUGGCUCGAUACUGACGCUGAGGUGCGAAAGCGUGGGGAGCAAAC
rnacentral:rRNA from 1 species